UACGUAGGGGGCAAGCGUUGUCCGGAUUUAUUGGGCGUAAAGAGCGUGUAGGCGGCUUUGCAAGUCCGUUGUGAAAACUCGAGGCUCAACCUCGAGACGCCGGUGGAAACUGCAAAGCUAGAGUCCGGAAGAGGAGAGUGGAAUUCCUGGUGUAGCGGUGAAAUGCGCAGAUAUCAGGAAGAACACCCGUGGCGAAGGCGGCUCUCUGGGACGGUACUGACGCUGAGACGCUAAAGCGUGGAGAGCGAACAGG
rnacentral:rRNA from 1 species